rnacentral:misc_RNA from 1 species
AAAGGGUUCAGUCGGCACGUUCUAAAUGCUAAGAAGGAUGGCUAUUCCAGGAAAAGGAGUUGGUGGCAGAAGUUUUUCUUUGACGAUGAUGGAAAUUGGCUUGGUUUGAAGGAUGAUGGGAUGUUGGAGGAUGAGUUGGAGAGUGUUGCUAGUGAUGAAGAUUUGUCUGAUGAUGAGAAAUUCGAGGCGUGGAAGAAGAGGGCUG